GGGCAAUGUCGUCCUUCGGAGUUUCAGCUUCAGCCAUUGUUGUACUUUGCUUAUGCUUAAUUCACUCUAUACAAGCUUCACAACACGAUUACUCCGCCGAUAAAUUCGUAAGCAAAGGCAAUGUGUUUGUAGUUCAUGGAGGUAGUGAAGGAAUUUACUCUUCUAACCCUAACAUCAACCAAUCUUCUACCGCUUCGGCAGAUGGACAGUCUUUUAUACGUUUUGAGAAGAUUAUAUUCCGGAGACCUGAAGAAUUUUCAAACUUUAGCUCAGGAUCAAUUCAUGCAGUUGUUUUUGAGGUGGAUGACCGAGAGACAAUUGGCGGCUCUGCCUAUGGGGGGCAAAGAGCUGUUUGUUGCACAGCAGAUCUUGCAAAACUGGGAGUUUGUACACAAGGGGAAAUAAUUCACCGCCCAUCUACUAAUAAUCCUGGUUGGCCUAAAGUAUUUGGUGCCUCAUUUGGCAUUGAUGAGCUUGAAGCAAAACUGCAGCCGAGAACAAUACAUAUAACAAAAACUGGAAUGUACAAUGUGUACUUUAUGCACUGCGACCAUAAUCUUAAGGAAGUUGUUGUUGAAGGGAAAACCAUAUGGAAAAAUCCUACCGGUUACCUACCUGGUAGAAUGGCACCACUUAUGAAUUUCUAUGGGUACAUGUCUCUUAUGUUUGUGCUACUUGGGAUCUUUUGGUUUUCUCAGUACGCGAGAUUCUGGAGAGAAGUUCUUGCUUUACAAAAUUGUAUUACUCUCGUAAUAACAUUAGGCAUGUUUGAGAUGGCAUUAUGGUAC
rnacentral:misc_RNA from 1 species